rnacentral:rRNA from 1 species
CACGUGCUACAAUGGCAUAUACAAUGAGACGCAAUACCGCGAGGUGGAGCAAAUCUAUAAAAUAUGUCUUAGUUCGGAUUGUUCUCUGCAACUCGAGAGCAUGAAGCCA